rnacentral:rRNA from 1 species
UAGAACGCUGGCGGCGGCCUAACACAUGCAAGUCUGGCGGAGCGGCGGACGGGUGAGUAACGCGUGAGCAACCUGCCUAUGACAGUGGGAUAGCCUCGGGAAACCGGGAUUAAUACCGCAUAGUCAUAGAUGGGCUCGCGUCUGAUUAGCUGGUUGGUGAGAUAACAGCCCACCAAGGCGACGAUCAGUAGCCGGUCUGAGAGGAGGAACGGCCACAUUGGAACUAGGAAACGGUCCAAACUCCUAGGGGAGGCAGCAGUGGGGAAUAUUGCACAAUGGGGGAAACCCUGAUGCAGCGAGGCCGCGUGAACGAAGAAGGUAGUCUUAUCGUAAAGUUCUGUCCUAUGAGAAGCAGUACCAUAGAAGAAAGCUCCGGCUAAAUACGUGCCAGCAGCCGCGGUAAUAC